rnacentral:rRNA from 1 species
UACGAAGGGGGCUAGCGUUGUUCGGAAUUACUGGGCGUAAAGCGCGCGCAGGCGGUUCUUCAAGUCAGAGGUGAAAGCCCAGAGCUCAACUCUGGAAUGGCCUUUGAGACUAGAGAACUAGGGUACGGGAGAGGUGAGUGGAAUUCCGAGUGUAGAGGUGAAAUUCGUAGAUAUUCGGAAGAACACCAGUGGCGAAGGCGGCUCACUGGCCCGUUACCGACGCUAAGGCGCGACAGCGUGGGGAGCAAACAGG